rnacentral:rRNA from 1 species
GACGAACGCUGGCGGCGUGCCUAAUACAUGCAAGUCGAACGAGAGCAACCGGUGCUUGCACUGGUCAAUCUAGUGGCGAACGGGUGAGUAACACGUGGGUAACCUGCCCAUCAGAGGGGGAUAACAUCCGGAAACGGAUGCUAAAACCGCAUAGGUCUUCGAACCGCAUGGUUUGAAGAGGAAAAGAGGCGCAAGCUUCUGCUGAUGGAUGGACCCGCGGUGCAUUAGCUAGUUGGUGAGGUAACGGCUCACCAAGGCCGUGAUGCAUAGCCGACCUGAGAGGGUGACUGCCCACAGUGCGACUGAUACACGGUUUGAACCCCGACGGGAGGCAGCAGUAGCGACGCGUCUGCAAUGGACGCAAGGAUGAAGGAGAAACGGCGCGUGAGUGAAGAAGGUUUUCGGAUCGUAAAACUCUGUUGUUAGAGAAGAACAAGUGCUAGAGUAACUGUUAGCGCCUUGACGGUAUCUAACCAGAAAGCCACGGCUAACUACGUG